rnacentral:rRNA from 1 species
AGUGAACGCUGGCGGUAGGCCUAACACAUGCAAGUCGAACGGCAGCACAGGAGAGCUUGCUCUCUGGGUGGCGAGUGGCGGACGGGUGAGGAAUACAUCGGAAUCUACUCUGUCGUGGGGGAUAACGUAGGGAAACUUACGCUAAUACCGCAUACGACCUACGGGUGAAAGCAGGGGACCUUCGGGCCUUGCGCGAUUGAAUGAGCCGAUGUCGGAUUAGCUAGGUUGGCGGGGUAAAGGCCCACCAAGGCGACGAUCCGUAGCUGGUCUGAGAGGAUGAGCAGCCACACUGGAACUGAGACACGGUCCAGACUCCUACGGGAGGCAGCAGUGGGGAAUAUUGGACAAUGGGCGCAAGCCUGAUCCAGCCAUACCGCGUGGGUGAAGAAGGCCUUCGGGUUGUAAAGCCCUUUUGUUGGGAAAGAAAUCCAGCUGGCUAAUACCCGGUUGGGAUGACGGUACCCAAAGAAUAAGCACCGGCUAACUUCGUGCCAGCAGCCGCCGUAA